ensembl:lncRNA
UUCCGGGUUGCCGGCCUGCGGCCUCUUGGGGCCUCCGAGCCGCAAGAAUUCCUCGAAGUUUUUCCUAGAACCUCACACUCUUUAAGUGCUCUCUGGGCGACCAGGAGGAGGCCUACUUGCCACAACUGCUGCUGGGCAGCUGUCUUCUGGAAUGUCGCGGGGCUGGGACCUUCCGCACCCCAGAGGCCCCAGCACCAUCGGAAAUACUGGGAGAGCUUGUAUGAGUGUUCCUAGCCCGAACUCAGGGCUAGUGUCUUUCAGGGCAGCGUUUUCAAAUGUGUUCUUUGUUGGUUUGGUUUGGGUUUUAAAUAUUUUUGAAGAUAUUUGGAUCGGUUUGGGCGAACGGCUUCAGUUAUAAAAUGAACGAGAGGGCUGGAGAGGGUAGAUAAUUUGGAAAAUGAGGAGAAGCCUUAUUCUUCGCUGUUAUCUGAUACAACCUUGUGUCUGGGCACACUUUUCUGUGAGACUCUAAUUAUUCUAACCAGCCGAGUUCGUUGAUUCGGUGUGCAAAAAAUCAUGAAUUGAAUGAUGUCAUAAAAUUCAAUACUGCUUUUUACAGUCCUGGUUAAGAAUUCUGUUCUUCAGUAGCCUUCAGUCCCAACAUUUCUUUUGUUCACAAAAAAAUUUUUUUUUCCUCCUGCAACCGCUUUUUUACAUACAAAUCUCCAAAAUCCUCUAUCUUUUCUCUCUUUUAUCAUCGGUAAUUAUGAUAGUUUUUAGUGCCCUUUAACCUGUUGGCAACAAGCAAAAGAAACUUAUUCUAGCUUACUACUGUUUCAUUCUCAGAUUCCAUUUAAUCAUAGGGAGAAAUUAAAGUCAAGGCCCAGACCACAGGGGACCCAGGCACAUCCCUAUAGCUGAACAGCUUCAGUUGCAAACAGUUGCGUCCAGCCAUUUCAACGACAACUUUUCCAUCUUGCAGGGUCAACCAAGUUCAUGAUGCCAGGUGUAGGAACGAACAAGUAUCCCACUUCUCCAAAUGUUUUCUUAAUCGUCUGUUAACCAGUAAAGAAUAUAGAAAUUGCUGUUAUCUAAACCAAGGUGGAGAUGUAGAACUCAGCUCCUCCUGCACCAUGUCUUCCUGGAUGCUGCCAUGCUCCUGCCUUGAUGAUAAUGGACUGAACCUCUGAACCUCCUCUCACUGAACCUGGAACUCUGAUUUGGCUGUGCUUUCUGGCUGGUGAACUCCCGAGAACUUCUUGUCUGAGACUUCCCAGAACUUGUGUUGCAACAUGUAGCUUUUACAUGGGUUCUGAGAACUGAACUCAGGUGACUCUGCUUGGGAGGGACUGAAUGCAGGCUGGCAGGCUUGGUAGCACCAUACCUUCGUUCACUGAAUCAUUCCUUCAGCUUCCCCGCCCACCCCCAUUACUUUUCUUGAUUCCGACAAGGGUUCAUUUUGGCUCACAGACUGAGGUUCAGAUCAUCACACGGGGGGAGCAUGGCAGUGGGCACAGGAGCAUCUGCAGCCA